UGGGGAAUAUUGCACAAUGGGCGCAAGCCUGAUGCAGCCAUGCCGCGUGUAUGAAGAAGGCCUUCGGGUUGUAAAGUACUUUCAGCGGGGAGGAAGGGAGUAAAGUUAAUACCUUUGCUCAUUGACGUUACCUGCAGAAGAAGCACCGGCUAACUCCGUGCCAGCAGCCGCGGUAAUACGGAGGGUGCAAGCGUUAAUCGGAAUUACUGGGCGUAAAGCGCACGCAGGCGGUUUGUUAAGUCAGAUGUGAAAUCCCCGGGCUCAACCUGGGAACUGCAUCUGAUACUGGCAAGCUUGAGUCUCGUAGAGGGGGGUAGAAUUCCAGGUGUAGCGGUGAAAUGCGUAGAGAUCUGGAGGAAUACCGGUGGCGAAGGCGGCCCCCUGGACAAAGACUGACGCUCAGGUGCGAAAGCGUGGGGAGCAAACAGG
rnacentral:rRNA from 1 species